GUGUGUGUGUGUGUGUGUGUUUUCAAACCUUAACGCUCUCUCACCUUUUAUAUGUAUCCAAUAUAAAAAAAAAAAAAAUUCAGUUUACAUGGGCGUAGACUAUUUCUGAAUGAAGCUGGAAAGAAAUGCACACAGAAGUUGCAUUUGGCUAAUAUCUAUAGCAGAAGAGGAGUGUUCAGAAUGAAGGAAAAUGAAUAUCCUCUUACAGCUUUUGUCUUACUCUUGGUAACUUUGUUCCAGAAUUUAGAAUGGCUAAAUGCCUCAACUUUUUGGUCCUUUAUUUGGAAUUACGUUUUGCUUCAUGUUAUAGUUAUGAAGAGAGAAUGUUGUCUGAUCCUACGAAAUCAAAUGGAUGAUCUUAGCCUCAGAUUCAUCAUUCAUCAGACCUUAAGAGAAUGAAUUGUAAUUGAUCACAAAAAGCCCCAAAACUCUUAGUAGAGUUUUUGUUCCACAACACAGUGAUCCAUUUUUCACCUAAUAGCUAGGAUGUUAAGUUUCACCUCACAGUUAUUGUCAUAUUUUGAUAAAAUGGGUCAUAAUGGUGUCUCAAUUCAAUUCUUUUCUUUGAAUUUUUUUUCCUAUCUCGUGUUCAGAUUAGUAAAUUUGGAGGGGUUUGGAUUUUGAGUUCAAGUUACUUGGAUGUGGUUCAAAAGUAAGGGUUUUUUGUGGUGCUUAAUUUGAAUCCACAGAUAAAGAAAAGCCUUGUAUAUUUAUAGAAUAAGGUUUCAGUGUUUUGCUACAGAGAUUAUCCAUUUCUCAUUUUCUAUACCUCGUCAGCUCUUCCUUUCAAUCCUAAAUCUUUGUAUUUGGGCCAUUUAUGUUCAAUCUGCCAACAAUAUGGUAGUAUAAUACUUUUGUUAAACAAUAAGCUGCUUGAAUAAUGACUUAAUUUUUGGACUCCUAUGAACAACUUUCGGCCAAAAAUUAAUGAUUCAUACAUUUUAAUACUGUCAUAGGCAUCUCAUUGAUCUAUAUCUCUCUCUCUCUCUGACAUACACACAGAUGUACACAAGUGCAGAAUUUUCUUAGUAACCUUCACAUGAACAUGAAUGCAAAUUUAAUAUUUCUUGAAAUUUUCGGCAGAUGUGAGUUGGCUGGUUGUUGAUAGAUGAAGGUAAAGUUAUGCUUUUCUGCUAAUUUAUGUAUCUUAAUGUUCUACUUGUCUUUCAUUUAAUAAACCACUUGUAAGAAAUAAUUGAAGAUACCAUCUGUUGUAUAAUUGACCAAAAUCAGAUUGGUAACAUUGGAACUCCUCUGACAGUUAGACAUCCUAUUUUCAAGGUUUAUCAUGGGGUUUUUCUUUUCUCGAACAUAUUAUUACAGAAUUCACACUUACCUGUGUUGUUUUUCUAUUUCCUGUUUGUGCAUUAGUUGAUAUUAACUGUAAACUUCUUAAUUUGCAAAAGUUAUCAAUAUGACUAGCUAAUAUUUUAAUGUGAUGUGUCUGAUGCCUAAUGGCUCCUUAAAUUACUUUGCUGUCAUUUUCUCAGUUUAAGUAGGCUUGACCAACAUACAGUUUUGCAUGUAUUGCUAUUAGAAAAGGCUUGUAGUAACAAUCAUCGAAAACAUUAAAGUCCACGAGUGGCACCAUAUUGCAUGUCUUCAUUGCAAAUAACCUAUUAGAUAUAGGAUAUAAAUUAAUCUAUUUUAGUAUAUCUCAUUGGAGAAGAUAACUUUGGGAUUGUCAACCAACGUCUCCGAAAACGCCCAAAUCCAUGGAUUUUAAUUCGAAAACGAAUCCGCUUCAUCCUUUUGGUGAACUCACCACAUCUUUGUUUAAGCAUUGCAGAUUUUGGGAACCUUACCAGUUUUCUAACAUAUCUACAUCCUGCAUUUUCUUUAACCUUUUUAACAUCUCCUUCUUCUUCUUGAUUUUCCUUGUGCAGGACCUCAACCAAGUUUUCCAAACGCUUUUGCAUCCUUCUCUGUAUGAAUCCUCUGGUGCACUAUUCAAAAACUCUUGUCAGCCAAAAAUGUAUGCAGUCCACCACUUAAACACCCUGUUCUUCCCAACAAAAUAUACAUGAAAAAUAAAAUGCCUUAAUAGAAAUGUUACCUUUAUGUGGUUUUUCACAUAGGCAUAGAAGUUUAACAGACUCCAUACAGUCUUAUCUAGUUUUUUACCUUCAACAUGACGAGAUGAAAUAUCUGAAAUAUGACAGUAAAUUGUCAGUCUGAACAUGCUCAAAAGUUUUGCUUAUAGGUGGAAAAUAAUUCAAAAGUGGGAGAGAAAUUAAAUGCUGCCGCUAAUAUU
rnacentral:misc_RNA from 1 species